rnacentral:sRNA from 1 species
UCUCGGGUGCUAAGCGCCUAGGUGCACAA